UCCGAGUUGUCCCCGGCAGUUUCCUAUGAGUCCCCGGCCGAACCGCUGGCAACAUAGGACAAGGGUUGCGCUCGUUGCGGGACUUAACCCAACAUCUCACGACACGAGCUGACGACAGCCAUGCACCACCUGUCACGGGUCCUAAUGGAAGCCGUGUUUCCACGGCGGUACCCGUGAUGUCAAGCCCAGGUAAGGUUCUUCGGGUUGCAUCGAAUUAAGCCGCAUGCUCCGCCGCUUGUGCGGGGACCCGUCAAUUCCUUUGAGUUUUAGCCUUGCGGCCGUACUUCCCAGGCGGGAUACUUAAUGCGUUAGCUUCGGCACGGCAAUCGUUAAUCCAAUCGCCACACCUAGUAUCCAACGUUUACGGCGUGGACUAC
rnacentral:misc_RNA from 1 species